GAUUCUGCUCUUAUUCCCAUCACCCAUUCACCCCAUCUACGUAAUUGCGCGCUUCGUAACAAACUUUGGCUUUGUUUUUGUAGACCUUCUUUCAACAACUUUGGUGGAUACAAUUUACUUUCAACGAUACUACGAUAGUGGUCUAGGGAUUCAUGACUUACGGCCGGCCAUUUGACAUUUACGAUUAGAGAUGAUAAUGGGUCGGAUUCAGAUUCGGUGGAGCUUCACCUGCAUCCAUUCAUUAUCUAAUUAUUAAUAUAUAGAUAGGUAUGCACCCAUUUAUAUAUGCAUAUGCAAUGAAACGACUGUGUUUCAUCAAUAAGAAAUCACGCGCCUAUAUCACAUACCCAUUUUCUCUCACCUCUAACCUCCGCCCAUUUUCUCUCACCAUUUUCUCUCUCAUCAAAACCUCUCACUCUCUUUCCUCCAUUGAUGCGCCGUCGUCGAUAUGAUGUGCUCACUCUUUCCUUCCGCCGCUAACACCUAUUCCGGUUUUCUUCCACCGCUGCCGAAGAUAUGCCGUCGGAAAAUAUUGUACUUCUUCGCCGAUCUAUUAGUGUUCUUCGUCGCGACGCUUGAGAGGCUUCCUACCUACGACGAUCUGUUGUCCAAAUUGAGCGGAGAUUGCUGAUGAUUGCACCGUCUUUCGGCAGAGAGGCAGGGCUUCAAGCCGUAGAUCCAAGACUUUUUCUCGUUCUCGCAUUGCCAUUGAAGGUAACUAAUACUUUUAAGUUUUAACCAUCUCCUCCUUUUUCUUUCCCACAAUUUAUGCGUUUUUAUGCACAUUAAUCUCACCUUUUUUCUAGCUUCAUCAUUUUCUAUUAGUAUGGCUGCUUCAUGUUUGUUUUGAUCAGAUUCAUUAAUUUAUUGUUCGAUUGAUUUUAAAUUUCAAGUAUUAAAAUAAAUUAAUUAAUUAAUUUUGUUGACUGAUUUGGCUUUCAUAUUUGGUUAUGGGAGUGUUGCAAGAGGGAGAGGUGUGCUCAUGGUGCCAAUAAUGUUUUGAAGAAAGCUAUAUUGAUUGGUGUGGAAGGAAAAAGUUAAUAUGAAUGCGCCAACAAAAGAGAAAAAAACGAUUUAGAAAUGGAAGAUGUGGUAUUAAGAGAGGCUGCAAGAAUUGAAGGCGGAAGCAACAAGAAAAAAAAUCUGCAAAUAAGGAAGCUGAUAGAAAGAGAAGAGACCGGUGUAGCGAAAAAAGUGGAAGCCGAAAGGAAGCGGAAAAAUUAGAAGCAUAUAGAAAGAGAAAAUAGGCAGCAACAACUAAAAUAGAGGAAACAUAUAGAAAAUAAAUGACAUGUUCAUAAAAUUACUUUAAAUGUCCAUUUGUUUGUUUAUUAUA